rnacentral:rRNA from 1 species
GGUUAAGCGACUAAGCGUACACGGUGGAUGCCCUGGCAGUCAGAGGCGAUGAAGGACGUGCUAAUCUGCGAUAAGCGUCGGUAAGGUGAUAUGAACCGUUAUAACCGGCGAUUUCCGAAUGGGGAAACCCAGUGUGAUUCGUCACACUAUCAUUAACUGAAUCCAUAGGUUAAUGAGGCGAACCGGGGGAACUGAAACAUCUAAGUACCCCGAGGAAAAGAAAUCAACCGAGAUUCCCCCAGUAGCGGCGAGCGAACGGGGAGCAGCCCAGAGCCUGAAUCAGUGUGUGUGUUAGUGGAAGCGUCUGGAAAGGCGCGCGAUACAGGGUGACAGCCCCGUACACAAAAAUGCACAUACUGUGAGCUCGAUGAGUAGGGCGGGACACGUGGUAUCCUGUCUGAAUAUGGGGGGACCAUCCUCCAAGGCUAAAUACUCCUGACUGACCGAUAGUGAACCAGUACCGUGAGGGAAAGGCGAAAAGAACCCCGGCGAGGGGAGUGAAAAAGAACCUGAAACCGUGUACGUACAAGCAGUGGGAGCACGCUUCGGCGUGUGACUGCGUACCUUUUGUAUAAUGGGUCAGCGACUUAUAUUCUGUAGCAAGGUUAACCGAAUAGGGGAGCCGAAGGGAAACCGAGUCUUAACUGGGCGUUAAGUUGCAGGGUAUAGACCCGAAACCCGGUGAUCUAGCCAUGGGCAGGUUGAAGGUUGGGUAACACUAACUGGAGGACCGAACCGACUAAUGUUGAAAAAUUAGCGGAUGACUUGUGGCUGGGGGUGAAAGGCCAAUCAAACCGGGAGAUAGCUGGUUCUCCCCGAAAGCUAUUUAGGUAGCGCCUCGUGAAUUCAUCUCCGGGGGUAGAGCACUGUUUCGGCAAGGGGGUCAUCCCGACUUACCAACCCGAUGCAAACUGCGAAUACCGGAGAAUGUUAUCACGGGAGACACACGGCGGGUGCUAACGUCCGUCGUGAAGAGGGAAACAACCCAGACCGCCAGCUAAGGUCCCAAAGUCAUGGUUAAGUGGGAAACGAUGUGGGAAGGCCCAGACAGCCAGGAUGUUGGCUUAGAAGCAGCCAUCAUUUAAAGAAAGCGUAAUAGCUCACUGGUCGAGUCGGCCUGCGCGGAAGAUGUAACGGGGCUAAACCAUGCACCGAAGCUGCGGCAGCGACACUAUGUGUUGUUGGGUAGGGGAGCGUUCUGUAAGCCUGUGAAGGUGGCCUGUGAGGGUUGCUGGAGGUAUCAGAAGUGCGAAUGCUGACAUAAGUAACGAUAAAGCGGGUGAAAAGCCCGCUCGCCGGAAGACCAAGGGUUCCUGUCCAACGUUAAUCGGGGCAGGGUGAGUCGACCCCUAAGGCGAGGCCGAAAGGCGUAGUCGAUGGGAAACAGGUUAAUAUUCCUGUACUUGGUGUUACUGCGAAGGGGGGACGGAGAAGGCUAUGUUGGCCGGGCGACGGUUGUCCCGGUUUAAGCGUGUAGGCUGGUUUUCCAGGCAAAUCCGGAAAAUCAAGGCUGAGGCGUGAUGACGAGGCACUACGGUGCUGAAGCAACAAAUGCCCUGCUUCCAGGAAAAGCCUCUAAGCAUCAGGUAACAUCAAAUCGUACCCCAAACCGACACAGGUGGUCAGGUAGAGAAUACCAAGGCGCUUGAGAGAACUCGGGUGAAGGAACUAGGCAAAAUGGUGCCGUAACUUCGGGAGAAGGCACGCUGAUAUGUAGGUGAAGCGACUUGCUCGUGGAGCUGAAAUCAGUCGAAGAUACCAGCUGGCUGCAACUGUUUAUUAAAAACACAGCACUGUGCAAACACGAAAGUGGACGUAUACGGUGUGACGCCUGCCCGGUGCCGGAAGGUUAAUUGAUGGGGUUAGCGGUAACGCGAAGCUCUUGAUCGAAGCCCCGGUAAACGGCGGCCGUAACUAUAACGGUCCUAAGGUAGCGAAAUUCCUUGUCGGGUAAGUUCCGACCUGCACGAAUGGCGUAAUGAUGGCCAGGCUGUCUCCACCCGAGACUCAGUGAAAUUGAACUCGCUGUGAAGAUGCAGUGUACCCGCGGCAAGACGGAAAGACCCCGUGAACCUUUACUAUAGCUUGACACUGAACAUUGAGCCUUGAUGUGUAGGAUAGGUGGGAGGCUUUGAAGUGUGGACGCCAGUCUGCAUGGAGCCGACCUUGAAAUACCACCCUUUAAUGUUUGAUGUUCUAACGUUGACCCGUGAUCCGGGUUGCGGACAGUGUCUGGUGGGUAGUUUGACUGGGGCGGUCUCCUCCUAAAGAGUAACGGAGGAGCACGAAGGUUGGCUAAUCCUGGUCGGACAUCAGGAGGUUAGUGCAAUGGCAUAAGCCAG